GACGUAGGGCGCGAGCGUUGUCCGGAUUUAUUGGGCGUAAAGAGCUCGUAGGCGGCUCAUUGCGUCAACCGUGAAAACCAGCAGCUCAACUGUUGGCUUGCGGUUGAUACGGGUGGGCUGGAGUUCGGUAGGGGAGACUGGAAUUCCUGGUGUAGCGGUGAAAUGCGCAGAUAUCAGGAGGAACACCGGUGGCGAAGGCGGCUCACUGGCCCGAUACUGACGCUGAGGUGCGAAAGCGUGGGGAGCAAACAGG
rnacentral:rRNA from 1 species